rnacentral:rRNA from 1 species
UACGGAGGGGGCUAGCGUUGUUCGGAAUUACUGGGCGUAAAGCGUACGUAGGCGGCUUUGUAAGUUAGAGGUGAAAGCCCGGGGCUCAACCCCGGAAUUGCCUUUAAGACUGCAUCGCUUGAAUCGCGGAGAGGUGAGUGGAAUUCCGAGUGUAGAGGUGAAAUUCGUAGAUAUUCGGAAGAACACCAGUGGCGAAGGCGGCUCACUGGACGCGUAUUGACGCUGAGGUACGAAAGCGUGGGGGAGCAAACAGGG